rnacentral:miRNA from 1 species
UAUGGCCCAAUGGAUGACAGGC